rnacentral:rRNA from 1 species
UGGAAGUGUGGUCGAGCACCCGGGGUAAUCGGGAGGGUGCAAGCGUGAAUCGGAAGUACUGGUCGUAAAGGGCGCGUGGGCGGCUGGAUAAGAGGGGUGUGAAAUCCCCGGGCUUAACCUGGGAACUGCAUCCAUAACUGUCGGGCUAGAGUACAGUAGAGGGUGGUGGAAUUGCCUGUGUAGCGGUGAAAUGCGUAGAUAUAGGAAGGAACACCAGUGGCGAAGGCGACCACCUGGACUGAUACUGACGCUGAGGUGCGAAAGCGUGGGGAGCAAACAGGAUUAGAUACCCUAGUAGUC